CAGGACUAUAAAUUCUUCUUUUUGAAGAGGCUCUUCAAUUUGUUGUCUGUCUUUCAUGUCUGUAGGCCUGGAGGAGGAGGACACAACCACUAGUUUAUGUGUCUCACAGAGGUUCCUGCUGUUUUGUGUCAAGACAGAUGUUGCAUUAGCUUCCCUCUUGCUUCUGUGACAUCUCUUCAAUUGGGUUCCAAGGUUGGAGGACAUGGCUCAUAUUAGUUCACAAAUUUGUUCAUAACUGGAAGCUUCCCCAAUUCUAUAAAACAUACAAUUAUGUUUUUGAUACAUAAAAAUGAUUGGCAAUUGCUAAGCUGAGUAAAAUAUUGAGUUUCUCUUGGCUCCAGAUGCUGCAAGAAAGUAUUAUUAAAACCAGCCUGGUCUCAGAAAAGAAGCCUAAAAAUUAAUCUCACAUGCCUAGAAAAAUCUGUUGGUAUAACUGUUUUGACUAUUCUGACCAAAGUAUUUCCAGUAAAUUGUACAACAACACUACCACACACGUGGGAUAGCUGUAUACGAGAAUAGAGAUACUUUAUUUCAGGGUCAGAGAGGACAGUUAAUUUUGUGAAGCACCAGAUGCCUGGACAAAAUCCCCCGUCAGGGGAAAUGAAAAGGAAUAGUCCAGUUCUCUAGAAUCAAAGAAUGAGGCAAUUAGAACGAAGGUAUCAUAUUGGGAUAAUAAGCAGGUCAGGAACCAACAAUAGAGCUCCGCAGUAAGGAGGGAAGAAAAAGAGGAAGGAAGGGAGGAGGGAAGAAAAGAAAAAGGAGAAAGGAAUGUAGGAAGAAAGGAAGAAGCCUGUCAUAGGAGACAUUUCUAAUAGCAUAAAAUGCAAUAACCUUUAGCUAAGCAUCAAAUUAGACUAUUGAACUUGUCCCUGGACAGGUGAUAUUCUGUCUAUUUCUGAAUUCGAUAGUAAUGAAAAGGACAGCCAGUUGUUAUUGAGCACUUCAGUGUGCCAAAUACUGUGCUAAGGAUGUUACUGACAUCACCCUGUUCAGUCCUCAUGAAAUGUAUGAGGUCAGAAUUAUUUUCUACUCUUAUUUUACAGAUGAGAAAACUGAGCAAGAUUUUGUGACUUUCCCAAGGUCCUACACCAGGCAGAGUAGGCAAAAUUUAAACCUAGAAAAUUUGACUCUAAGAUUACAUUGUCUUGUAAUGCAAAGGUUUCUGGAGAUUCUGUGAAGAGUUCAGAAGUGGUUAAAAUAACAACUUUACGUGAGAAGAAUAAGACAAAUGAAGAAAUUCUGAAGGAUUCUGUAUUCAUUUUUCUUUUAUAACAGUAUUAUAAGGCAUUUUAAUAAUGGUCUGUAACCUAGAUAUCCUCUUAGUUAAAGAAAAGAAGAUCCUUUGGAGCUACUGCCACGGAAGACUUUUCAACUGGAAAGGAUUUGAAUAAAAAGUUGGAACAUUUAAGUUAAAUAAUGCAAUAAUACAACAACUGAGGAAAUUUAUUGGAAUGUCUUAUCAAUAAAUGUUAUAGAGUCUCUUUUUCUCCUUUAAAAUAAAAUAGAUAAGAUUCUCCCAAGGAUGAUUUAAUUGUGGUUCUGCCUAGAAGAGGUGAGAUGAUUUGGUAUGCCGAUAUACAGGCAAGGGGACCGGCGGGAGGGUCAGAGGAUGAAGGGCUUUCGCUGGAAGGAAUGGGCUUGUUCCAAUUCCUGAACCUGCGGAUGUGGACCUUGUUUGGAAAAAAGCCUCUUUGAAGAUGUAAUUAAGUUAAGGAUCUUAAGGUGACAUCAUCAGGAUUAUCCCGUGCCUUAAACCCAAUGACAAUUGUCUUAAACGACAGAAGAGGAAAAGAUACAGACACAGCGAAGGCUAUGUGAAGAUGGAGAGAGAGGCUGGAUUUAUGCAGCCACCAGCCACAGAACAACAGCGACAGCCACUAGAAGUUGAAAAGGCUCCACCUUCUCACGGAGCAUUUCCUUGCCGACGCCUUGGUUUCAGGUUUCCGGCUUCUGGAACUGUGAGAAAAUGCAUCGCUUUGGUUUUAAGCCACAAAGUUUGUAAUAAGUUUUUAUGACAGCCCUAGAAAACUGAUACAGGUAAAGAUCCAGAUAGUAUUUCCAGGACCAUCGGUAUCUCACAGGGAACUAUGGGAAUCUUUAUAAAAUGAAAUGUUGACAUAAUCAUUAACAAUCCUAAUGAGAAGGACAGGGCUGAAUUAUCUAAUGAAAUACAUGUGCCCGUGACGUGCAGAAAUUGGACAUGCAAAAAUGAAAUGAAGGGUACAUAACCAACGAUGCUGGCAAAACAGAAACACUGUGCGGUGAGACUCCUCCCAGAGAGCAGGCCUUGGCGUUUUAUUAACCCUGACACAUUCAAUGUUUUAAUUUUGACCUCAGACAAAGCCAUUAAAGCAUACUUUUGAAAUUUAAGAAUGACAAAGCUCAAGAACAAACUAAUAUGUUGAAGGAUCACCAUUAAUAGACCAAAUUCCAAAUUAUGAAAUGUAGGUAAUAAUAACAUUCAUUAUUAGUUACUGAGUGCUUAUUAUUUGUUAGGUGCUGAGAUAAUUCUUUAGAAGUCAUUAAACCAUUUCAUUCUCAAAGCUACACCCUGAGAUUGACCGACAUUUGUCAGUGGGGAAUUGUGGCCACUAAAUAACUUAAUGUUGGAAUUUUUUUUUUUUUUUUUGAGUCAGAAUCUCACUUUGCCACCCAGGCGGGAGUGCAGUGGCACAAUCUCAACUCACUACGCCGUUCGCCUCAUGGGUCAAGUAAUUCUCGUGCCUCAGCCUCCUGAGUAGAUGGGAUUACAGCGUGAGCCACUGUGCCCGGCUAAUUUUUGUAUUUUUCAUGGAGACGGGAUUUCGCCAUGUUGGUCAGGCUGGUCUCGAACUCCUGGCCUCCAGUGAUAUGCCCGCCUCAGCCUCCAAAAGUGCUGACAUUACAAGUUUGAACUACCAUGGUUGGCCUAGCUUAAUGUUAGAAUCUUAAUUGAGAACCAAUACCUAAAAUUAGGUAGAUAACAGUCUGGUGUUACUUUGCACAAAACAGAUCUCAUCACAUCUGAAGAACGGUGCUGAUUGGGCUUCCUGGCCAUAGAGGAUCAUACUGGGUAGAUUUCAAAGGAAAAUGAAAACAUCUGGAAGCUAGGUCAUCAUAGGCUUCAUUUGUUAUAUUGUAUGGUGAAAAACAGAAUAUACUUAUUUUUGCGUAUCCAAAGGAUAGAACUAGGAAGAGUGGUAGAAGUUACAGAGAGAAAAAUGACAACUCUAGGACAUUUUUUUGAUAAUUAGCACAGUCUAGCCAGGAAACAAUCUGCCUCUGCAAUGAGAGAUCUCUCUGCGCUUCCAGAGCACCACAGCAGCAGCAGCCAAAUGUUAUAGGAAAGUUGCAGUAAAGAUUCAUUCGAUUGGACAAUGUUGAGCUGAAUAAUGUCUCUAAUUCCCUUUGACUCAUAGACUCUGUUUCUGUGAGUUUCUGGCAUUAGUGGCAAGUGGGGAAAGGUGACAGUGAUGUAAAGAGCCUGGAGAUGUAAGGAAAUUCAAAAGAGCAAACUUCAUUUUACAAUUUCACAAGGUCCCUUAAUAAUCCAUCAGCAAGUCAGAUGAAUUAGCAAGAUAGUUUUCACAGCUGUCUAAUUGAAUGUGUAGACACAGUCUUAGCAAGGCACAAGCUAAGCCCUGACUAAGUGGAACCAGUUAAGACUAGGCUGUGGACACUGCCACAUACUAGUUUUGUGACUAUGGGAAAGUUACUUAUCUUCUGUAUCUUACCUCAGUCUUAUCUGUAAGAUGAGAAUGUUAAUAGUACCUUAUACAGUUUCUUAUUGUAAAGAUUAAUGAGUUACUCAGGUAGAGUUUUUAAAACUGUGCUUUGUAACCACAAUAAAUAUUGCCACCCAAGUACACAUUGAAUAAGAGCACAAACAGGUAGUACAUGACAUGAAAAUCACAUUUUGCACUUAGAAGAACAUGUCAUGCUCUAGUGCAUGGGCGUGAGGUUUUCAGGCACUUACUGAAACUAGGAAAGAAGAAAGAUGGCAGAGAUGAACGUUUACUUUUCUCUUGGAUUUGAAUGCAAGUGGUAAGCCUGCUUAGAGAGUCCCUAAUACACCAAAAUAAAGGAAAACAUUGAUGUGAUACUGUGUCUACGAAGUGAAAAGACAGGGAAUUUAUGAAAUACGAAGAACAAUUUGCAGUCCAAAAUGCAGAGCUAAAUUUCUGCUCUGCUAUUUACCUGCGGCCACGAGCAGGCCACAGAGCCUGCUAAAGCUCAGUUGUCUGUUGCAUAAUAUAGGAAUGAAAAUAUCUGGCCUGUGCAUUUCACAGGGAUGUAAAAUUCAAAUGAGAGUGCAAACGGGAAAGCUCUUUUAAAUCGUAAUGCCCAGCACCAGAAAGUGUUGUUCUGACGUGUUGUGGGGGUAAAGUAGUUAAGUUCGUCAAACAAAACAAAUGAUCUGAUUCCCUUCAUAAUAACAUAUGUAAAUGUUGUUACCUUAAGUUAUGCGAACAGAGGGAAAGUCUGUGUGGAUUCAGGCAGCUGCAUGUAUUUUUACCAGGCAAUAUCCCUCCACUCAGGGUACCUUUGCUCAACCGAGCGUGUCCAGAUACAGUAGAAGUGUUUGGAGCAGGAGAUAGAACGAAAGAGAGGGAAAGAAGACAUUAUUCCUUCCCCCUCCUACUUCUAGCUCCAAACCUGAGUCAGAAAUGAAUUGUGUGUGUAUAUGUGUGUGUGUGUAUACAGCAUGUGUGUGUGUUGGAGGGUAGGAAGAGGAUAGAGGAGAGAGAAGUUUGUAAGCUUCAUACAACACAAUAUGACUGAAAAUGUUCAUGCCCAAAGAUGAGACUCUUCUUUAAUAUGUGAAAGGGAAGCCCUAGGAAAUCACUUUCUAGUAUUUUCUAGGGGCAAUCACAGGCAAUCCUUCUGACUGAAUGUGAAAGGCAACAAAAAGGAACAAUAAACAUUUUGUCCCUUGUGUUCCCAAAUUCAAGGUUUAUCAUUUCGUUGAUAUUUUAGCUAGUCAUAAAUUCUCAGUUCAAAAUUUUCCCUCAGAAUUUUGAAGGUAUUUCUCCAAAACCUUCUGUCACUCUGGGUUGUUGAUAAGAAUUUGGGAGCCAUUGAGAUGAUUGCCUUUUUUUUUUUUUCCUUUUGGGGAUCAUCUAGGAUCUUUGCUUUAUUCUUGAUGUGCUAAAAUUUCACAGGGAGGUGCCAGGCUGUUCUUAGUCACUGGGAUAGAAACUCUAUAAAAUCAAGGACUUGGUUUUUUUACUUCUGAUUUCAGGCACCUUGUGGCAACAUGUCUGGCCCAUAAUAGGAACUCCAUAAAUAUUCAUCAAAUAUAGUUUUGGGAUGAAUUUGUAUUGUGGGACACUUGAAGGAGACAUUUAAUCUGAAGAAUCCAUCUUUAUUUUCAUAAGCUCUCCUACCCUUUAUUUACCCUUCUACAAUCCCAAUAAUGAGGUAAAGUCUCCCAAUUUGUAUAGAUCCUAUGGUAAUCUCCACAAUCCAAAUGGUUGAAACAGUAUCUCUGUGCCUCAUUGUUUUUAUUUUUUCUACUCAGGGUCAUCCAGUGGCUUCAUUUAUUCAAAUAAGCAUCCUUUAAAGCAAUUAUUCAUUCUGAGUAACUGAAUGGAGCUCAGUGUAGCAAAGCAGUCUACAAUCUGCUUCGUGAUUACCUAUGACAUUUCUUGGGCAAAAUAAACUACAUUUCUUUUUUCAUGAAAGUGGCUACAUCAGCAAAGACCCAGAGCAGUCAACUCACUGAUGACAGUCACGUGAUUUCCUGAAUUUCACAAAUAAGUUGUCAGUUAAAAACAAAACAAAACAAAACAAAAAAUGUCUAUGGGGACCUUACAAUUUCUAAGCUUUUAUUCUUCCAGGAAAUGAUAUUUAGAAUGCAACUACCAUCUGAUAUUGCCAUUAUUUCAUUAAAAAUAUUAAAUUUCAAUCCCUAAAACUUAGGAUGUAUCUACAAAGGGAAAAAUUACAGCAUUAAAUGCAUUUUUAUUUUUUAUAUAUUCUUCUUUAUACAUUUAUUCAUUAAUGGAGUAAUUGACUGAUUCAUUGUUUCAUUUCAUUUCAUAAAAUCUUUUUUGUGUGUGUGAAUAAGGAUUGGUCUGUGGUAUCCCUGACACUAAAAUAAACACACACACACACACACACACACACAAUUGUUCUAGGGAUCUGACUUCUAUCUAGAUUCAGUUCAGAAUUUUGCAUCUUUCCCUGUUCUUAAUUUAUUGUCUUUUGCUAUCAUUUGACAUAAAGAGAAAUAAAAUAUUUGCACUUCUUCAGAAAAUUAUUUCCAUGAUGACUGUAUUAAGUACCAGCAGUAAUCCAAGACAUGGAAUUAGAGAUGACAUUUUUUCUACUUUUAUUUUGAAAGACUCCCUAUUUUUUGCCUGAAGAAGAGAAAUAGGCAAAGAAAUAUGGAUAAUUAUGAAAGUAGUGAAGCCACAUCUGAUUCCUUUGAGAUAUUUUUCAAGAACAUUUAAUCCUUUUAAGCAAUGUUACUCUUGUCUUAUUGCCAAUGUCAGUGAUAGCUUGGAUAAUCCUCUAGCUAUGAACUAACUGUUUAAAUGUGACCUGGCAAGUAACAUACUCAUUCUGUACUCUAACUUAAUAUUGCAACGUUUGUC
rnacentral:lncRNA from 1 species